rnacentral:rRNA from 1 species
CCUACGGGAGGCUGCAGUGGGGAAUCUUGCACAAUGCGCGAAAGCGUGAUGCAGCAACGCCGCGUGGGGGAAGAAGGCCCUAGGGUUGUAAACCCCUUUCAGUUGGGACGAAGCUUCGUCGGUUAAUAGCCGGCUGGAGUGACGGUACCUUCACAAGAAGCCCCGGCUAACUACGUGCCAGCAGCCGCGGUAAUACGUAGGGGGCUAGCGUUGUCCGGAAUCAUUGGGCGUAAAGCGCGUGUAGGCGGCUCGGUAAGUCCGCUGUGAAAGUCGGGGGCUCAACCCUCGAAAGCCGGUGGAUACUGUCGGGCUCGAGUACGGAAGAGGCGAGUGGAAUUCCUGGUGUAGCGGUGAAAUGCGCAGAUAUCAGGAGGAACACCGAUUGCGAAGGCAGCUCGCUGGGACGUUACUGACGCUGAGACGCGAAAGCGUGGGGAGCA